ncrna:unclassified sequences RT-2 RNA
CGAGGUCAAAUGGAGUAGCCAAUAGGCGAAAGACGACCUUCGCAAAAGGAGACGUACUUCCCUGGGUGAAAGUCCUUAAAACUGCCUUACGACGAUCACACACGGACGCUGCUUGCAUGGCGAAGAAUUGCGCUACCUUCGUUUCAUGUGUGGGAUCAAAGUAGUUUAGAUGCGCACCUACAAAACAACUAUGCGAAAGGCGAAAACUUAUUAUGACAAGC